AGUGCGCACCAAUGACGGGGUGUGGUGGCGCCAUCAGUGUGGGCUGUGCCGUGGCUGGAAGUUACUGUGAGGCGGCGGCUUAGAAGGCGGCUGUGGUGGCGGCGGUGGAGGCUGAGGCGGCGGCCGAGGCGGCGACGGAGGAAACAGAAGAUGGCAGAUUUUUUGAAAGGACUGCCUGUCUACAACAAAAGCAAUUUUAGUCGAUUUCACGCGGACUCCGUGUGCAAAGCCUCGAACCGACGGCCCUCAGUCUACCUGCCCACCCGAGAGUACCCGUCUGAACAGAUCAUCGUGACAGAAAAGACAAACAUCCUUCUGCGCUACCUGCAUCAGCAAUGGGACAAAAAGAACGCUGCCAAGAAGAGAGACCAGGAGCAAGUGGAGCUGGAAGGCGAGAGCUCAGCACCUCCCCGCAAGGUGGCGCGAACCGACAGCCCAGACAUGCACGAGGACACUUAAGACUCAACCCCACACAGGCACCUCCUGCCAGGUCUGCUCCUCGGUCGCCCACCCGCCUGCCCGCCAUGUAGGACGGAGCCCCUGGGAGUCAUCCCUGUUGUCACCAAGAGGAGUGAGAAGGGCCCCCCACGCCAGGGGCUCCGGGACCGGCUGGAUUCUCUCGUGGGCUUGCUGAGGCCACCAUGUUCAAGGCCAAGACCUGCCGGGACCAUCCCCUCUGCCUCUCCUGUCAAGGUGACCCCAAGGACAGGUCAUUCCUGAGAGACGGUCCAUGGUGCCAAGGAUGGAGCAGGGUCAGUCCCCUGCCUGGGAUACCGCCGAGCAGGGCAGUGCACCUGUCAGCCACCGCAGAGACGGCCAGCCUCACCUGGGGGCCUGGGGUCUCCGGCCUCUGCCACUCCCGUGAGCCAUGGUGACAGCACAGAUGGCAUCUGGCUGGUCUUGCUGUCCCAGGUAGUGGCCACACCCUUGCUGGGUCACAGAAAGUCAGCACCUGGCAGUUGGCAUGUGCCAUGGCUGCUCAUGGGGACCCCUCCUCCGCCAGCUGGGCUGGGUUUGGGGCUGAGCUUGGGUACGUAGGGGGUGUUCGGGCUCUUGGCAGAAGGUUUGUGGCCCUGACCAUUAAGCCUGGGGCUGGGGGAACACCGCUUCUUCCCUUAUCACCCCCACUGGUGGCGGGGCCAGGGGUCUUAGUUUUCUUUUGUUUGUUUUUUUGAGUUGGGGUCUCACACUGUUGCCCAGGCUGGAGUGCAGUGGUGUAAUCACAGCUCACUGCAGCCUCGACCUCAAGCAUUCCUCCCACCUCAGCCUUCCAAGUAGCUGGGACCACAGGCACACACCACCAUGCCUGGCUAAUUUUUUUUUUUUUUUUUAAGAUGGAGUCUCGCUGUGUCUCCCAGGCUGGAGUGCAGUGGCGAGAUCUCAGCUCACUACAACCUCCGCCUCCCAGGUUCAAGCGAUUCUCCUAACUCAGCCUCCC